rnacentral:rRNA from 1 species
GCCCUCGUAUGAAGUUGGAAUCGCUAGUAAUCNCGGAUCAGCAUGCCGCGGUGAAUACGUUCCCGGGCCUUGUACACACCGCCCGUCACACCAUGAGAGUCGGGAAUGCCCGAAGUCUGUGACCCAACCUACGGGAGGGAGCAGCCGAAGGCAGGUCGGAUGACUGGGGUGAAGUCGUAACAAGGUAAC